GGGUAGCCUUUAUUAUUAAAGAAAACGCAUAGAGAUGUGUCACACCUCACCAUAUUCAUAGACAUAUCUACAUCACACAGUGCUUAUUCACAUGCAUCUCUUUUUGUGGGUGGUUGUAAUUCUGGAACACCACACUAUAAGAAUACGAAUCUACUUAAAUAGAAGGGCCUGGAUAAGAGCGUCUGCUAAAUGACUAAAAUGUCUAAACUGUAUAAGAGUACUAUAAGAGUACCUUCUUAAAAWGUUAUGGUUGUCAAAUAAAAUCAUCUCCAAAUAUCACGUUAAAUUUUACCCCCCGUGAAAAUGUGGACCUAUAUGCAAAGCUCAUGAAAAGCAGAAGGUAUUUUAUAGCGUUUCUCUCGAAGCAUUUUACUAAACAGCAACUUAGAGUGAAAAUCCUGUGUUUCUCCCUCUUGGCUUCUUCCACACUCCUCUCCCGGCUGAUCUGAUUAUUUUUCCCUUCACGUUUUGUCCCAAUAGCAAAUUACCAAUUCUAUGAAUUGCAAAGCAGCCUCGGAGACGCUGAGGGGUAGAGAGGGGGGAGAUGCGAAGAUUGAAAGGGAUCUUUGCAAACACAAUCACGUUCUUAAAUGGAAAUGCGGGGCUUUAAACAAAUCUUACAUCUCUCCCGUUCCAGUCGCCUAAAAGUCCGCAAUCAGGCGCAUGUUCCACUCCUUCUAAAACCGAAGCUUUUUGUAAGCUUUUUCAGGCAUCACUCUUUAUUUUAAUUAUUUACCUGAAUGCUUUUUUUUUUUUAUCUCACGCGCGUGUUUAUGUUGUGACUUCUCGUCUCCCACAUGACACUGCUCUCUGUUUGUAGGCUACAGUGGGACGCGCUGUACUAUUUAUUCAUUUCAAUCCCAGGACUAGAGCACGAUUUAACGAGUUCCAAACCUUCCAUCUAACUCCGUGACGGGCUUGAAAGCAUCAAGCUUGGGAUGCCUAAGCCCCUUCUCAGCUCCUGUCUACCUGUCUGCUGGGGUGUUGGUGCCUGGGAUUCAACCAUCAGCCCUAACCUGUGUGGCUUCCUGUCCGUCCACAGAGGGACCCAAUCCUCUACUUUGAAUUCAAGGGGCCUGAAGACAACACAGCCUCACGCAGGCUCAGCAACACGCAGGUUAUGACCCCAACAGGACAUACCACGCCACCCGGCCGGGCUGAGUUGUUGCGCACUACAUGUGCGUGUGUGUGUAAGCCACAGGAGGUUGGUGGCACCUUAAUUGGGGAGGAUGGGCUCGUGAUAAG